rnacentral:misc_RNA from 1 species
GAUCAUUAUUGAAUAAANCUGAUGGGUUGUUGCUGGNUCUCUAGGGAGCAUGUGCACGCCUUGUCAUCUUUAUAUCUCCACCUGUGCNCNUUUUGUAGACCCUUUC